rnacentral:lncRNA from 1 species
GGCAUCCAAUGCCUUCUGGCCUCUCCAGGCACCAGGAGUGCACAGGGCACACAGACACAUAUAAAGAAAAACGCUGUCAGAGAUUAAGGAGAGCAUCUAGAGCCUUUCAUCUGCACAAGAAAGACCUGGGAGCUUCAGAGACCUGGGAGGCUGUUCAAAGGCUGUUCACCUGGCCCAGAAGCCAAAUUUGAUCCUAAGCUCUCCUUAUUGAAGAGGGCUGGUGUUGAUAGAGAAAAUGGUCCUGGGCCAUUUGGAGCUGGUCUGGAAUGCCAGCCCGAAGAACGUGAAGCACUUAUUGGGUAUGGAGUGGAGGUUGAGGUGGAGGCUGGAGGCUGUCUUGCCCCCCCCAGGUUUUUCCUUGAGUCUGGGUUGCAGCCAAGGAAAACACGAGGCUUGUUCCCCCUCGCUCCAGCAGAAGACAAAACCGGGGCUUUACAAUUACCGUCUGGAAAAAAUCUUCCACCUCACAUCCUCCUGCAGGCCCCCCAGCCCCAAGGAGGGGAGGGACACUCUGUUGGCAGUAGGGACAGGGGUUCCAGGGUCUGGAAACAAGAUGGGCUUCUUCCCUCAAGGGGCUCACAAUCUUUGGUAAAACCAGACAGACCUUGGGCGUAACGGGGGGGGGGGGGAAACUCCUUUAUUGCACACUGAAAUUCCAUCCACGGGGAAACUAACUGGCUGGAGCGUAGAGCCAGGCUCCAGAGGAAACAGCCAAGCCCAGGCGAACCCCCACUUCAGCCUUAGUCCUCACCUGAUGCCCUAAACCCCACACCUAUCUGGCCAGCCAUCAAAUUUCCCCUGCCUGAUCUGUGUCCUGCCCUCCAAGUCCGCCCCUACCGAAAAUUCCAAUCCGUUUGCAAAGAAAUGAUUGUGUGAGAUGGGAGGCAUUCCCCUGUCUGCGCAGUUUCUCUUAUCGCUCUGCUCACUGUCCUCUCCCUGAGCCCAGAUGUCCCUAGGACUAGAUCUAGGAAAGGAUGUAUGACGGGUUGCUCUUCUCUGCGACCUCCUCGUCCCUCCCCACUCAGCUGCUUUCCUGCUCUGGCUCCCGCACCGGGCUGGGGAGCCAACUAAAUCUGAUGAAAAUGCAAUUGCCAAGUCGUUAAGGUAUUUGAAUUUAAAAAAAAAAAUAAAAAAAA